CCUACGGGAGGCAGCAGCAGGGAAUAUUGUGCAAUGAGCGAAAGCUUGACACAGCGACACCGCGUGUGGGAUGACGGUUCUAGGAUUGUAAACCACUUUCAGGAGGGAAGAAAAUGACGGUACCUCCACAAGAAGACCCGGCCAACUAUGCGCCAGCAGCCGCGGUAAUACAUAGGGGUCAAGCGUUGUCCGGAUUUAUUGGGCGUAAAGAGCUCGUAGGCGGUUCAACAAGUCGGUCGUAAAAGUUUAGGGCUCAACCCUAAAAUGUCGAUCGAUACUGUUGUGACUAGGAUACGGUAGAGGUGAAUGGAAUUCCGAGUGUAGCGGUGAAAUGCGUAGAUAUUCGGAGGAACACCAAUUGCGAAGGCAGUUCACUGGACCGUGAUCGACGCUGAGGAGCGAAAGCUAGGGGAGCAAACAGGAUUAGAUACCCUGGUAGUCCUAGCUGUAAACGAUGGAUACUAGAUGUAGGAACUGGAUUGACGGUUUCUGUAUCGUAGCUAACGCGUUAAGUAUCCCGCCUGGGGAGUACGGUCGCAAGACUAAAACUCAAAGGAAUUGACGG
rnacentral:rRNA from 1 species